CCUACGGGUGGCAGCAGUGGGGAAUAUUGCGCAAUGGGCGCAAGCCUGACCCAGCGACGCCGCGUGAGGGAAGAAGGCCCUCGGGUUGUAAACUUCUUUUAUUCGGGACGAAACAAAUGACUGUACCGCAUGAAUGAGCCACGGCUAACUACGUUCCAGCAACCGCGUGAAUACGUAGGUGGCAAGCGUUAUCCGGAAUUACUGGGUGUAAAGGGCGUGUAGGCGGGAGGUCAAGUCAGAGGUGAAAUUCCUGGGCUCAACCCUGGAACUGCGUUUGAAACUGUGCGUCUUGAGUGAUGGAGAGGAAGGUGGAAUUCCGGGUGUAGCGGGGAAAUGCGUAGAUAUACGGAGGAACACCAGUGGCGAAGGCGGCCUGCUGGACAUUAACUGACGCUGAGGCGCGAAAGCGUGGGGAGCAAACAGGAUUAGAUACCCGGGUAGUC
rnacentral:rRNA from 1 species